rnacentral:rRNA from 1 species
ACGGAGGGGGCGAGCGUUGUCCGAAUUUACUGGGCGUAAAGGGCGCGUAGGCGGGUCGUUGCGUCUGCCGUGAAAGCCCGGGGCUCAACCCCGGCGGGUCGGUGGAUACGAGCGGUCUUGAAGCUGUGAGGGGAAGAUGGAAUUACCGGUGUAGCGGUGAAAUGCGUAGAUAUCGGUAGGAACACCAGUGGCGAAGGCGGUCUUCUGGCACAGUCUUGACGCUGAGGCGCGAAAGCUGGGGGAGCGAACGGGAUUAGAUACCCCGGUAGUCCCAGCCCUAAACGAUGGAUACUAGGUGUCGGGGGUAUCGACCCCCUCGGUGCCGCAGCUAACGCAAUAAGUAUCCCGCCUGGGGAGUACGGCCGCAAGGUUG